rnacentral:rRNA from 1 species
UACGUAGGGUGCGAGCGUUGUCCGGAAUUAUUGGGCGUAAAGAGCUCGUAGGCGGCCUGUCGCGUCGGAUGUGAAAGCCCCGGGGGCUUAACCCCCGGGUCUGCAUUCGAUACGGGCAGGCUAGAGUGUGGUAGGGGAGAUCGGAUUCCUGGUGUAGCGGUGAAAUGCGCAGAUAUCAGGAGGAACACCGGUGGCGAAGGCGGAUCUCUGGGCCAUUACUGACGCUGGAGGAGCGAAAGCGUGGGGAGCGAACAGGAUUAGAA